rnacentral:rRNA from 1 species
GUCCUUUUGUUUAAAAUUUAAGGUCUAGCCUGCCCUAUGAAAAUUAAAUGGCCGCGGUAUUUUGACCGUGCUAAGGUAGCAUAAUCAUUAGUUUUUUAAUUGAAAGCUGGAAUGAAGGGUUGGAUGAAAAAAUUUCUGUCUCAUAUUAAUUUAAUUAGAAUUUUAUUUUUAAGUUAAAAAGCUUAAAUAAUUUUAAAAGACGAGAAGACCCUAUAGAGUUUUAUAAUUUAUAUAAAUUUUAAAUUUAGUAAUAAAAUUUAAAAUUUAUAGGCAUUAUUUAAUUGGGGUGAUUAAAAAAUUUAAUAAACUUUUUUUAUAUUUUUAUAUUUAUUAAUAAAUAAAUGAUCCUAAAAUUUAGAUUAUAAGAUAAAAUUACCUUAGGGAUAACAGCGUAAUUUUAUUUGAGAGUUCAAAUCGAAAAUAGAGAUUGCGA